UACUCUUUCUUGGCCAAAGCGUGGACUCUCAAUUCCCCAAACCUAAAAACUCCAUUCAACACUUGUUAGAAGCAUUCACUUCCAAAUUAUUCCACACGAAGGAAAGAGGGCAGCAUCAAUUGCCCCAAAAUCCAGCAGACCUUACCUAAUAAUUCAACGAAACAUCUACCACUAAGAGCAGGUUUAUUCCAAUCACUCCAGCAUUUUAUUUUAUUUAUGCUUUCUGUUCUACUUUUUCUUCUUAUGCAAAAAGAUCAGGUCUUUGGGGUUUUGGCUUGAUUAUCAAUCUUUUCUUCAGUUUAGUCUUAAGAUUCGUUUCAGAAAGGUGAAAACAAACUGAGGUUGGGUCUGAUUUGUUCUCUGUUAUUAAUUUGUUUAUUUUGAAUUUCUUACGUGACUUCUAAGUUCUCUUCAUUUUUUUUUCUUGUAUUUUACUUUCUUUAAAAGAUUGGUCAUUAAAAGACUGAACCCCAACGGGUUAUUACAUUUCUAUUAUUUAUACCAGUAGAAUGAACAAUAAAUUUGUUACUUAGGGUCUGCUGACUCCUUUUUUGGUUUGAAUGUUAUAAAUACAGUUAUCUUGUGGUAAUAAGCUUGUGAAAAAAUAUAUUCCGGUCAAAGAAACAAACCAAAUUUGCAUAUGCUUGUUAAUCGAUCUCUAUCCUUCAGAGUUAGAUUAUAAACUUCAUGUAUACCGGGAGAUGAAGACAAGUAGUACUUGGAACAAAAUAAAGAGGUAAAAAUUGCUACUCCUUAUAUAUAGCUAUUUUGUAUAUGAAUUAUUUCCAGUAAUGUUAGAUUGAAUGGUUUAGUUACAUGAAAAUCUUAGUUUUGUCGUGCUGCUUCUUGAAUUUAUCCUCAAAAGAGAAAAAAACGGAAGUUAAUUGGUCAGCACAACUGAAGUCUAAGUAGUAUUCUCAGUUUGUUAAAGCAUCUGUUAUUUUUAUUUUACUAUCUUAAAAAUAUACGCUCUAGCAACACCAAUAACUAUAUAGAUUCAAAAUUGAUGCAGAAAGGGGAAGUUCUCUACCUGGGAAUAUCAAGUGUAAUUUUGUAUAUUUAAGGUUAUGAUUUUUAUGCCAAUUGGAUGUACCUGUUGUAUCCUGAUAUGUGUCAGUUUACCUUAUUGUUCAACCUACAUGGACUACUGUUUGUUAAAUUUACAACAGAAAUAUAAUAAGUGAUAAUUUUGUUAAUGUUUGAAAGUGAAGUUUUUUUAGCGACAAUGCUCGAUGAACAUGUUGAUGAGAUUUGAAUUGUUGGGAGUAUCUGUCAUAACUAUGUGUCAGCAUAAAUUUCAGCAGUUUCUAUCCCUAAAUUUCUUUACGACGAGGCAUUUGACAUUACCUUUUGUGGGUUCCAAUCAUAAUUUCCUUAAAACGUUGAUUAUAUAUACUAUACUAUUCAGUAGUUGUUACUGAUAUACGUGUAGGGAAAACCAUAAUUUUAUAAAACUUUGUUUCUAUGAACUUCUUCGUGGUGGGCCUACAGAACAAGUAAUGAAUGAUGCAUAGUAUUGAUAAGUCGAGUCAAGCAUAAUGUAGUGAUGGCAUAAAGUGGCUAAUUUUCACCCCAAUUUUUGGCCUUAAAAACUUUCAAUCAUGACCAAGUCGAAUACCUGCCCUGCCAGAACUUUCUUUUGCACAACUUUUGUUCCCGUUCAAAGUAUUCUUCGUCUAUUCUUUCUCCUAAUUCUUCCGUGGGGUUAUGAAUGGAUUCUCUCAAAAUUUAUCCAUUUUUCCCGUAGGGAUUUCAUAGAGAGAAUAUGUAAAGUAUACUUUGUUUGCAAAGUUAACCCAUCGAAGGUUUUCGUCGAUAUCCGGUAUGAUCAGAUUAAUCUUUUAAUAUCUUUAGUUAUAGAUGCAAUUUUGGACUUUGGUUCGACUCCUACUCUGGGUUUCUGUAUAUAUAGUUAGGACUAACAGGUAAACAUUCCUGAUUUGGGAAUUUUCCUGAAAUAUUAAAAUGUACUGCACAAUAAAUUAAAUAUAAAGCCGUCAGAAUAUUUAAAAUAUUUUUCUGAUUAUUUAGUCUUCCAUUGUGGCAAUUUGCAACAGAUUGCUCUUCGAAUUUUUGGUUUACAUGAUUAGAGGAGUAAACCCAGAUGGUCCCUUAUGACAUUUUCUCUACACAGGCAAACUUACAUGUCUGCACAACUGAGUAUCACUUCAUUUUUUUAAUUUUCUUCGAGAGUUAAUUGUUGCAUUUCCUCGAAAGAACUGUGUCAGUAUUAAUUAAAAUAAUUUUCUUUAGAAAUUAAUUUAGCUAAUCCUUAUUCGUCAGCAAAAUAUUUAUCCUUGAAUGAACCACAAAUAGAACUACAGUACAAAUUAGAAGAAAUAAUGACUAUCACCAGCCCUACAAUAUUGAUAAUUGAUAAAUGAUCAUUAAAGGAACAAAAAAAAUGAUUCAAAAAGAUCUUUAUGUCUAAGGAAGGACAUUGUUCUGGAUAUGUAAAUUUAUAAUAGUGUAAACCUACAUGUUUACAUCUUGUCCACGUUUCUAUGUUUUUAUUUUUUGAUAAAUUUAUUUGGAAAUAUAAUGGCCACACUAUUUUGAUUUCACAGGUUCUUCAAAGUGCUGACCUGGGAAGCAGAAACAAUGCUUAAACUAGAAUACAUGACUUUGACUAAAAUAGAAAGAUGGACAACGCCUAAAUUGAGCAGAUCAAGAACGUUCAUAUCUUGGUGGAAAAAAUAGUGAUAAAUGCCUUAGACAACAUAUAUCACAUGGAGAGAAAUGGGUACAAAUAUCUAAAUUGAUAUUUUUAGAUACUCCUACUGGUGCAACACCAAGUGCAGCUCCUGUACAGAAGACUUCAUUUGCACUAAUCACAUACUAGCUUGUUGUCUCGGUCUCAAGGCAAAUACGCUCUGCUUCCUAAGAGCACGACAAGUCGACAACUAUUAGGGACCUAAUAUAAUUGAUAGAAUUGCAGCAACAAGAAGAAAGUUAAUCAAUUGUAUAGAUUUUGAAUCAAACCGAAUAGAUUUUGUUCAAUUUUACUUUAGUCUUUAAACAA